CUGCACCAUACACAAGUUAAGGCUUUAAAUUCUCCAAAAUACUGUUAAAGCUAGUAGUUCCCAAGAAUCACUGAUUCAAAAUCAUCCUAUCUUGCAGGAUUUCGAGAGUUGGGGAUGUUUACUUUAAUACCUCAUGGGCUUUAUCUGUAAUAUUCCAGUUUACUCAAGUUUUUACAACGACGGCUUUCACACUAUUGUCUUUUUUAAGGUCAAUAUUAUUUUCUCUUUUUCUCUUUCUUCUUUUUUAUUUUUUAUUUUUAUUUUUUUAUUUAUGAAUAAAUUAUGCACUUUUACUCUUGUAAUGAUUUCUCCGUGUAGCAAGCAUUGAGUCAACAACUCCCACACCAGAUGGCAUAAGGUGUUGGGCAUCAAGACUCC
rnacentral:lncRNA from 1 species